UACAGAGGUGGCAAGCGUUGUUCGGAAUUACUGGGCGUAAAGGGCGAGUAGGUGGCCAUCUAAGUCAGACGUGAAGUCCCCCGGCUUAACCUGGGAACUGCGUCUGAUACUGGACGGCUUGAGUAUGGGAGAGGAACGUAGAAUUCCAGGUGUAGCGGUGAAAUGCGUAGAUAUCUGGAGGAACACCGAUGGCGAAGGCAACCGCCUGGGCCUGUACUGACGCUGAGACACGAAAGCGUGGGGAGCAAACAGG
rnacentral:rRNA from 1 species